ensembl:lncRNA
AAAACGGAAGAUUCUGAGGCGAAGGAGUCUCAAACAGGAGAACAAACAGACUGAGGUCUUCACCGCCCUGUUUGAUCCAAAACACCAUGAGCAUCUUUUCAGCAAAGUAUGCUUCCCUCUCGCACAUAACAAUCAAGAAUCCUGAUGUCAUUUACCUCGAUGAAGGCCGAACGAACCAGCGCAGCUGUCAGAUUCUUCGCAGAUUUACACUCUUGACAGCUGUGUAUCUUUGAGUGCACAUAUCACCACCAAGACUACAAGCACAACCUCAUGAGGAUGACUCAUUCUCUCCCCCAGUACAACUUCGAGCCGAGCAUCACUCUUCUUCUGCACAUCCAAACCGCAGUGCUUCAUGUCGCAUGCACGUUCAAUGUUACCCAUUUAGUUUCCGAGGUAACCAGACUUUAUGCAAAAAACAAACAAACAAACAAAACUACAUUGUUUCUAAAACAACUAUUUGUAUAAGAGACCCUAUCAUUGAAAAUAAAUAAACA